UGGGAUCUGAAGCUCAGGGGCUGACGUUUUGGUUCCCACUGUGGUGACGGUCUUAGCUAGCUGGGGUUCUGGCCCUAUUGGUGGAUUAAUCCAUUGAUGGAUUCAUAGCUUAACUGUGGGCUGCUGGGAGAUGGAGGAUGCUUUGGGAAGUGAGGCCUAAUAGGAAAAACUCUGGUAUUGCAGCUAAGUUGGAAAGGGGCCAAGGGGUUCAUAUAAUCCCGUCAGCAAAAGCAGAAGAUGCAGCCUCUCACAGAACCCGAAACACUCGUUGCUGUCUUGUCUGACCCAAAGGCAACCUCCAUCUCAUCCCCACCCCGAAGACACGAUUGCCCCUCCAGAGUAAUAAAUGUCUGUUGUGC
rnacentral:lncRNA from 1 species